UCACAGGCUGCAGUAAUUACAUGUUGAUUUCAUAGUUGUUUUCACCUGCAUGUACCAUGCCUUCCUUACAAACCAACCCACAGUGCCACAUCAGCAGGUUAAUUCUGCACAACCUAGUCAACCAUUUCCUAUUCAGUACUGAAGUGCUUGUAUCCUUCUGCUGAUGUUCAUGGAUGGCAUUAUCUGCUGCCAAAUUUCAUGUCUUGGAGAAUUCUGACGACGUGCAGUCAGGAGCUUUCACCCCAGGCCCAGCUCUGACAUUGGAGGCACGAGGUGUUAGCGGAGGUUCUUGCAUGACUGCCCCAUGCUUCUCAUCAUGCCUCAAAGCCAAACCUGAGGAGAGAAACACUUACCAAGAAAGUGAGGAGAAGCCUCGUCUUCUUGGAUAAACACAUGUCGAGCACCAGGAGGGAUAUCAAACAUCUUAAGGUACCCUUUGGCAUGUGUAGUAGUCAAUGGAGAAAGAAGAGGAGAAAAUAAAAAGUAAUAGCCAUGGUUAGGAGCGCUCUACAUCAUCCAGCUUCUACUUGCAGAAGAGGGCAUCCAUCAACUGAGAAGCAGUGCCACAGAGAAACUGAUCAAAUAGUUUUGUAACAUGUUUGGCAAGACUUCCUUGUGCUUUUCCUCUUUCAGGGAGAAAAGAGAAACCAGUUACAAAUCUAUUUAUCACUUGAUUAGCUGCACUCCUAUAGGCCAUAAUGAUUAACAAUUCAGGCAAAAAUAUGUUUCCUAUGUUUGUGAGCAUACAAAGGAAAAAAACAAGUCUUCCUGAUUAUUUUUUUUUCCAGAUCACCCAUCAGCCAGACUGUUAGAUUUGAAUUUACUUACUGUACUGUUACAUGUUUAUGUCUUAAGUGUGUCUAUUUACUUCUGAGACAUCAAUGACUCUGAAGAAAGUUGGAUGUACUACAGAGUGUAUUGUUGCUACACUUAAGGAAGGUCUUGUCUAUGUGGAAGUUCAUUAUUGACAACUGUGAAAUGCAAAAUGAAUCAAUUCAAGUAUUACUGCUGAGGUGAAAGGGCUGAACUCAACUCUCUAUAGCUAAGAGUAAAAAACAGUUCCCAAAGACAAUAAUUCCUAUUUUCAGUUUUAAUUAUUUAUCAGUCCAAACCACAAGUAAUUAGUGUGAUAUUAAGCACAUACUAUGGUAAUUUAGGAAGACUAAAAUCUGUCUUCAGAACCUGUCAACAGGCACUUCUAUUUAAAGUUUUAAAGAAGAGCUACACAUGUAGCUAAGUGAAUGUAUAAUUAAUUGGAUGUAAGGAUGUGAAACUCUUGAGUUCAUUGCAUUUUCAUAUUCCUCUAUUUUCCCUAUAACACCUGCAUAUUUAAUUAUGAUAAAUCUUCUUGGAUCCAUUUUUAAAGAGCUGAAUAAGUUUUUCCUCUGAUUUGUACUCCACAAUCCAUUUUCCUGUUACCAAAGCAGUGUAGAUGUGACUAGACUUGUAGUAUUUGUGCAUUGCAAACAGAAGAUUUAGCAUUUAAGUAACUGUUUCAUCUGAAGGAUUCUAAGACUAACCAAUAAAUGUGUAGUUAGCCAUGCGUCUGACAUAGUACAGCUGCUUGGAUAAUCAAAGCAAAGAAAAUGAAGAACUAUGAGUGUGUAAAAUCAUGGUCUUGGCUGAUGAGUGAAUGCAAAAGCAGCAUUUGCUGACCUUUUUAUUGACCAUUUUUUGAGCAUAUGAAACAAAACUUUUGCCUGAUUUUGUGUUAUCUAUCAACAUCUAGAUGAAGAUGAGAACUAUAGCAAGAACUCUCGAGUUGCCAUGGAUGUCGCUCUUUCUGCAAGCACAUGAAACUUACCCAGAGUAUUUUUAGACUCCUUUGUUUCAGAAAGGGAAAUAUUGCGAGCUCCUUUGGGCAAUGUAAAUGCUCCUCUUGUCUUCCCUUAAAUAGAACGUCUGUAAUUAGUGUUAUGGGAGCCAAGUCCUGUUAUUUCAUUGACUACAUUGUCAGCCAGAUGGUCUUAAAAAAUACAAAGUAGAACUUACGUUCUGUGUUCAAAGGCAUUUAAAGCAGUUUUAGACACAUCUAGCAAAUUUUAAUAGUCAAUGAAAAUUAGACCAGUGAAAAUUCAGGUAGGUGAUUUUAAGUUGGAUACUUGCAGAUUUC